rnacentral:tRNA from 1 species
ACCUGGGUGGCUCAGUCGGUUGAGCGUCCGACUUUGGCUCAGGUCAUGAUCUCGCGGUUUGUGGGUUUGAGCCCCGCUUCGGGCU